rnacentral:rRNA from 1 species
UGGGGAAUUGUUCGCAAUGGGCGCAAGCCUGACGACGCAACGCCGCGUGGAGGACGAAGAUCUUCGGGUCGUAAACUCCUUUCGAUCGGGACGAAUCGUCCGCGACCUAAUACGUCGCGGGACUGACGGUACCGAGCGAAGAAGCCCCGGCUAACUCCGUGCCAGCAGCCGCGGUAAUACGGGGGGGGCAAGCGUUGUUCGGAAUUACUGGGCGUAAAGGGCGCGUAGGCGGCCUUCUAAGUCGGACGUGAAAUCCCUCGGCUCAACCGGGGAACUGCGCCCGAUACUGGAGGGCUCGAAUCCGGGAGAGGGAUGUGGAAUUCCAGGUGUAGCGGUGAAAUGCGUAGAUAUCUGGAGGAACACCGGUGGCGAAGGCGGCAUCCUGGACCGGCAUUGACGCUGAGGCGCGAAAGCCAGGGGAGCAAA